rnacentral:rRNA from 1 species
GAUGAACGCUAGCUACAGGCUUAACACAUGCAAGUCGAGGGACCGGCGCACGGGUGAGUAACACGUAUCCAACCUGCCCUUUACUCGGGGAUAGCCUUUCGAAAGAAAGAUUAAUACCCGAUAUAAAGGAUGGGGAUGCGUUCCAUUAGGUUGUUGGUGAGGUAACGGCUCACCAAGCCUUCGAUGGAUAGGGGUUCUGAGAGGAAGGUCCCCCACAGUGGAAAUGAGGAAAGGUCCAAACUCCGACCGGAGGCAGCAGUUAGGAAUGUUGGUCAAGUGGCGCUAGCCUGAACCAGCCCAGUAGCGUGAAGGAGGAAGGGUGAUGGGUCGUAAACUUCUUUUAUAUAAGAAUAUGUAUUAUAUGAAUAAGGAUCGGCUAACUCCGUGCCAGCCGCCGCGGUAAUUC